UACGGAGGAUGCGAGCGUUAUCCGGAUUUAUUGGGUUUAAAGGGUGCGUAGGCGGAUCGUUAAGUCAGUGGUCAAAUUGAGGGGCUCAACCCCUUCCCGCCAUUGAAACUGGCGAUCUUGAGUGGAAGAGAAGUAUGCGGAAUGCGAGGUGUAGCGGUGAAAUGCAUAGAUAUCACGCAGAACCCCGAUUGCGAAGGCAGCAUGCCGGCUUCCGACUGACGCUGAAGCACGAAAGCGUGGGGAUCGAACAGG
rnacentral:rRNA from 1 species